rnacentral:rRNA from 1 species
AUGAACGCUGGCGGCGGGCCUAAUACAUGCAAGUCGAGGGAACAGACGAGGAUCUUGCUCCUCGGACGUUAGCGGCGGACGGGCGAGUAAGACGCGCGUAACCUACCUAUAAGACUGGGGUAACUUAGGGAAACCGGAACGAAUACCGGAUAAUAUAUUGAACCGUAUGGUUUAAUAGGGAAAGGCGGUUUUGCUGGCACUUAUAGAGGGAUCCGCGCCGCAUGAGCUAGUGGGUAAGGUAACGGCUUACCGAGGCAACGAUGCGUAGCCAACCUGAGCGGGUGGUCGGCCCCACUGGACCUGAACCGCGGUCCAGACUCCUACGGGAGGCAGCGGUGGGGAAUCUUCCGCUAUGCACGGAAGCUUGACGGAGCCACGCCACGUGGGUGAAGAAAUUCUUCGGAUCGUAAAACUCUGUUAUUUGGGUAGAACAAAUGUGUAAGUAACUAUGCACGUCUUGACGGUACCUAAUCAGAAAGCCACGGCUAACUACGUG